rnacentral:rRNA from 1 species
GAUCAUGGCUCAGGACGAACGCUGGCGGCGUGCCUAACACAUGCAAGUCGAGCGGAGACAGUGAGUAGCUUGCUACGAGCUGUUUUAGCGGCGGACGGGUGAGUAACGCGUGAGCAACCUUUCCCAGACAGGGGAAUAACACACCGAAAGGUGUACUAAUACCGCAUAAGACCACGGGAUCACAUGGUUCUGGGGUAAAAGAAUUAUCGGUUUGGGGUGGGCUCGCGUCCGAUUAGGUAGUUGGUGAGGUAACCGG